rnacentral:lncRNA from 1 species
UCGUCUGCCUCGCGAUAUCGAACUCUGAUCGGAAAUCAACGUCGAUUAACAACCGUUCUUCUCCAACAAUCACAUCUAUGUACUCGUAUUCACCUGAAAAUUAGCAAAUAAUCAGUCACAGUUUUCAUUACCUGAAAAUUAGCGAAUAAUCAGUCACAGUUUUCGUUUGUGCAGAGAGAGAAGAGCUUCACCAGUUGGGAACGAUGGAGAUUUUUCCCAUUUGGAUUUACAGAGUGAAGAAUCGUAGUGAAGAGAUAAGAGUCCUUCGUUGAGGAGCUUCCUCAGAUCCUCUUUUCGUUUGACUGAUCUGUUCUU